rnacentral:rRNA from 1 species
UGAGGAAUAUUGGUCAAUGGGCGAGAGCCUGAACCAGCCAAGUAGCGUGCAGGAUGACGGCCCUAUGGGUUGUAAACUGCUUUUGUAUGGGGAUAAAGUCAAUCACGUGUGAUUGUUUGCAGGUACCAUACGAAUAAGGACCGGCUAAUUCCGUGCCAGCAGCCGCGGUAAUACGGAAGGUCCGGGCGUUAUCCGGAUUUAUUGGGUUUAAAGGGAGCGUAGGCUGGAGAUUAAGUGUGUUGUGAAAUGUAGACGCUCAACGUCUGACUUGCAGCGCAUACUGGUUUCCUUGAGUACGCACAACGUUGGCGGAAUUCGUCGUGUAGCGGUGAAAUGCUUAGAUAUGACGAAGAACUCCGAUUGCGAAGGCAGCUGACGGGAGCGCAACUGACGCUGAAGCUCGAAGGUGCGGGUAUCGAACAGGAUUAGAUACCCUGGUAGUCCGCACAGUAAACGAUGGAUGCCCGCUGUUGGUACCUGGUAUCAGCGGCUAACGAAAGCAUUAAGCAUCCCACCUGGGGAGUACGCCGGCGG